CCUACGGGAGGCAGCAGUGAGGAAUAUUGGUCAAUGGGCGCUAGCCUGAACCAGCCAAGUAGCGUGAAGGAUGACUGCCCUAUGGGUUGUAAACUUCUUUUAUAUGGGAAUAAAGUGCAGUAUGUAUACUGCUUUGCAUGUACCUUAUGAAUAAGGAUCGGCUAACUCCGUGCCAGCAGCCGCGGUAAUACGGAGGAUCCGAGCGUUAUCCGGAUUUAUUGGGUUUAAAGGGAGCGUAGGCGGGUUGUUAAGUCAGUUGUGAAAGUUUGCGGCUCAACCGUAAAAUUGCAGUUGAUACUGGCAGCCUUGAGUACAGUUGAGGUAGGCGGAAUUCGUGGUGUAGCGGUGAAAUGCUUAGAUAUCACGAAGAACUCCGAUUGCGAAGGCAGCCUGCUAGACUGUAACUGACGCUGAUGCUCGAAAGUGUGGGUAUCAAACAGGAUUAGAUACCCUAGUAGUC
rnacentral:rRNA from 1 species